AUUUAGAGGAAGGAGAAGUCGUAACAAGGUUUCCGUAGGUGAACCUGCGGAAGGAUCAUUGUCGAAACCUGCAACGCAGAACGACCCGCGAACAAGUGAAAACCAACGCGGGCGACGGGCCCUCCGGGCCGGUCGCUCGAAGUCCAAGGCGGGGGGACGCGGGAAACCACGGGUCCUCCGCCGCGGGCACAACGAACCCCGGCGCGAACCGCGCCAAGGAAAAAGAACACAAGAGGUGUGCGCCCCCUUCGCCUGGAGACAGUGUCGCGGGGGGUCACGUCGUCGUCCAUAUUACAUAUGAAACGACUCUCGGCAACGGAUAUCUCGGCUCUCGCAUCGAUGAAGAACGUAGCGAAAUGCGAUACUUGGUGUGAAUUGCAGAAUCCCGUGAACCAUCGAGUUUUUGAACGCAAGUUGCGCCCGAGGCCGUCAGGCCGAGGGCACGCCUGCCUGGGUGUCACGCAACGUCGCCAACAAUCCCCCCACCCCCCUGCCACGUUCAGGGGACGGUGAGGGGUGGCGGAUAUUGGCCUCCCGUGCGCUCCCGCUCGCGGUUGGCCCAAAAAACAGCCCCUUGGCGAUGGCAGCCACGGCACGCGGUGGUCGGAAGCGCUCUCUAGCUCCUCAGAAACCGCUGUUGGCUGGCCUCGUCGACGGGGAGCAAGAGACCCGGACGCAAGCGUCCUCACAGAGCGACCCCAGGUCAGGCGGGAACACCCGCUGAGUUUA
rnacentral:rRNA from 1 species